GGCCCGGUGGUCUAGCGGUUUAGGACGCUGGCCUUUCAAGCCGGAGAUCACGGGUUCGAUUCCCGUCCGGGCUACCA
rnacentral:tRNA from 1 species